CUAGAAAAAUCUCAAUAGCGAUGUCCAAAAAAAGCUAUUGCCUACCCAUGAGACCUGAGAGAAGACAUCCACAUUCUCAGGGCAUUUUUUCAACACAUAAUUAGAAGCAAACACCAAGAUUCGUUCAUUGAUUUUUUAAUAUUCACAAAUGAAAUCUGUUGGGAUAAUUGCCAUGACUUCAAAAAUAUUUUUGAUUGAUCAUGAACUAGUUGAAAAAGGUCACACUACUUUUACAACUCCUUUCUGGCCUGCUUUGUGUGCAUUUUCUGUAACAAUGUUGGUAGGAUUAUGCACAACUCAAGUUUGCUAUUUGCUAAAAUUUUAUGAAAUUGUUGGCAAAAGUUUUGGUAAUAAGUGGUUAAACACAGCAAAACUAUAUUUUAAAAAAUUAAAUUUAUUGGGCUGGGGGAUAAUGGUCAUCUGUCAUUUUCACCUGACCAGAAUCCAUUGACUCUUUUUUUUUUUUCUGACACAGUAGUUUGAAUUUUUUAUCGAGAUAAUAUCAUCAAUAAUCUCAGUUUUUAUGGUUCUACUGCAGGGGCUGCUUGAACUCCAGCUGCAGAAGUAACCAUGUGACUCAGGUCCAUCCAGUCCAUCAUUCUAACCCCUUGACCUCACUCAUAAAAUUAUUGGCCUUUCCAAAGAAAGCCAACAGCUGCCAACUAGGACCAAUGUCAGGGAGGACUCCUGGCACAGAGGGCACAUGGUGGGGUCAGGUUCCCUGCCAUGAAAGACACAAGGAGCUGGCACUACUGUCAGAAUUUGAGCCUGCACAUUGUGAUCAUGGUUCUUAACCAGGAUUAAUCUAUUGAGGGGUUUGUGCGCAUGGGACUCUUCUUGAGUAUGAAGGACUGAAUCAUGAAUGUUACUGAGUUACACCUUCCAGGAAGUUUAUCAGCAAAGCUAGUCAGUGACUCCAGCAUUACCAAGUAAAGUACAGCAAACAUGUUUCAGAAUUUUCAAGAGGAAAGCAUCUUCCUUAUAAAUCAACUGGUAAAAAUUCACCACUAUUCAAAGACUACACUCUUAGAUUCCCUUGCAGUUCCCUUUGAUAAAUUCCAGUUUUCUGCUGCUUAAAAAUUAAAUGGCCCCCAUCCUUCCCAGGUAUCCACUACAGGCAUUCAGCUCAUGCCCUAAAACAUUUGUGGUCUUCCCAGUCUUAAAUUAUAUGACUAGAAUACAAAUUAGGGCUCCAAGUGUCUUAUGAACCAUAGUUUGGGGUGUCGGUGUGCUCAGCGC